GCUGCCUUGGCGCAAUGGUAGCGCGUCGCCCUCCUAAGGCGAAGGUUGCGGGUUCGAAUCCCGUUGGUAGUA